UACGUAGGGGGCAAGCGUUGUCCGGAUUUACUGGGCGUAAAGGGCUCGUAGGUGGCCAACUAAGUCGGACGUGAAAUCCCUCAGCUUAACUGGGGAACUGCGUCCGAUACUGGAUGGCUCGAGUUUGGGAGAGGGAUGCGGAAUUCCAGGUGUAGCGGUGAAAUGCGUAGAUAUCUGGAGGAACACCGGUGGCGAAGGCGGCAUCCUGGACCAACACUGACGCUGAGUGAGCGAAAGCCAGGGGAGCAAACGGG
rnacentral:rRNA from 1 species